AGAGUUUGAUCCUGGCUCAGGAUUAACGCUGGCGGCAUGCCUAAUACAUGCAAGUCGAACGAGAGUAGCAAUACUCUAGUGGCGAACGGGUGAGUAACACGUAGGAAACCUACCUCAAAGACGAGGAUAACUACUGGAAACGGUAGCUAAAACUGGAUAGGAUAUACAAAGGCAUCUUAGUAUAUUUAAAAGUCCUUCUGGGAAUGCUAUGAGAUGGUCCUGCGGCGCAUUAGCUAGUUGGUGAGGUAAAGGCCCACCAAGGCGACGAUGCGUAGCUGUGCUGAGAGGCAAAACAGCCACACUGGGACUGAGACACGGCCCAGACUCCUACGGGAGGCAGCAGUAGGGAAUUUUCGGCAAUGGGCGAAAGCCUGACCGAGCAAUGCCGCGUGAAUGAAGAAAUUCUUCGGAAUGUAAAAUUCUGUGGUGAGGGAAGAAAGGUAUUAGAAGGAAAUGGCUAAUAUUUGACGGUACCUUACUAGAAAGCCCCGGCUAACUAUGUGCCAGCAGCCGCGGUAAUACAUAGGGGGCAAGCGUUAUCCGGAAUUAUUGGGCGUAAAGCGUGCGUAGGCGGCCACUUAAGUCUGUCGUGAAAGCCCACAGCUUAACUGUGGAGGGUCGAUGGAAACUGAGAGGCUUGAAUCUAGGAGAGGUAAGUGGAAUUCCAUGUGUAGCGGUAAAAUGCUUAGAUAUAUGGAGGAACACCAGUGGCGAAGGCGGCUUACUGGUCUAGAAUUGACGCUGAUGCACGAAAGCGUGGGUAGCAAACAGGAUUAGAUACCCUGGUAGUCCACGCCGUAAACGAUGAGCACUAAGUGUCGGACGUAAGUUCGGUGCUGAAGUUAACGCAUUAAGUGCUCCGCCUGGGGAGUACGGUCGCAAGACUGAAACUCAAAGGAAUUGACGGGGACUCGCACAAGCGGUGGAGCAUGUGGUUUAAUUCGACGCAACGCGAAAAACCUUACCAGGCCUUGACAUACCGAUGACGUCUUUAGAGAUAGAGAGUUACCUUCGGGUACAUCGGAUACAGGUGGUGCAUGGUUGUCGUCAGCUCGUGUCGUGAGAUGUUGGGUUAAGUCCC
rnacentral:rRNA from 1 species